rnacentral:rRNA from 1 species
GACGAACGCUGGCGGCGCGCUUAACACAUGCAAGUCGAGCGAAGCGGCGGACGGGUGAGUAACACGUGAGUAACCUGCCUUAGACAUUGGGAUAGCCUCGGGAAACCGGGAUUAAUACCAAAUGGUCUAAGAUGGACUCGCGUCCCAUUAGCUAGUUGGUGGGUAACGGCCCACCAAGGCGACGAUGGGUAGUCGGCCUGAGAAGGUUAACGGGCAAAUUGGAACUGAGAAACCGGCCAAACUCCACGGGAGGGAGCAGUGGGGAAUAUUGCAAAAUGGAGGGAACUCGGAUGCAGCGACGCCGCGUGAACGAAGAAGGCUUUCGAGUCGUAAAGUUCUUUUAUAUGGGAAGCGGUACCAUAAGAAAAAGCCCCGGCUAACUACGUGCCAGCAGCCGCGGUAAUAC